CCCUAACCCUAGCUUCAACCCUAACCCUAGCUUCAACCCUAACCCUAGCUUCAACCCUAACCUUAACUUCAACCCUAACCCUAACCCUAGCUUCAACCCUAACCCUGGCUUCAACCCUAACCCUAACCCUAGCUUCAACCCUAACCCUAGCUUCAACCCUAACCCUAGCUUCAACCCUAACCCUAGCUUCAACCCUAACCCUAGCGUCAACCCUAACCCUAGCUUCAACCCUAACCCUAGCUUCAACCCUAACCCUAGCUUCAACCCUAACCCUAGCUUCAACCCUAACCCUAGCGUCAACACUAACCCUAACCCUAGCGUCAACCCUAACCCUAGCUUCAACCCUAACCCUAGCUUCAACCCUAACCCUAGCUUCAACCCUAACCCUAGCUUCAACCCUAACCCUAGCGUCAACACUAACCCUAACCCUAGCGUCAACCCUAACCCUAACCCUAGCUCAACCCUCAACCCUCCUUACUUUGUUCCUUCCUUCCUUCCAUUAUUGCAGCUUUUUGACUGUCCUUGAGAAUGAGGGGCUGAUGAUCGUCUAAAUAUCCAUUUUACCAGCCAUCUCCCACAGGGUGACAUGUCAGUUCUGGAGAGCUUGACAGGGACAAGAGGGGAAUACUGAUGUGGUCAUCAAACGUCUUAUGCGACACUGCGCUAUGAUUACAGCUGUGGGGGAGUUAUUGAGACACAUGAAUGGAGCUGCAGAGCCCGUCAGGUAAAAGUAGCCCACUAAUUGAGGUCAAAUUCUUUCAUUUGUAUCUUUGUUAAAGCUGCACUAUGUAACUUUUUGGGCGACCCAACCUUAGUUACAGAACUAUCAUUCUCAAUGAAAGCAAGUCUAAGAAACGGUUGAUCUGUUCUACAGUGUGUGCACUAUAUUUCUAUGCUUCCAUUCUGAAGUUUAGUUUUCCAAUUUAUAGUGCACCUUUAAUGAUUCAUGAGGAAAGGGGGUUCAUGGGGUGAUUACCAAGCAUGAAUAUUCCCUUCUCAUCUAUUCAGUAAAGCCUUCCUCACCUUUCAAACAUGACAGUUUUGAAAAAUGAGCGUUUUGGUCAUUUUGUCAUGAUGAAUGGAGACAAAGCUUGUCAGCUUCAUCAGUUUUAGACAGAUAUGACAAAAGAGCAGGAUGGAUCCAUUUUCCCUUUGGGUGUUUUUCUGUUGAGUUUCUAUUGGAUAAGCAUGAGUGUUUAAUAUUCUCUUUGAAAAAGAAGAGAGAGUGAGUGUGAGUAAGAGAGUGAGAGAGGGAAAGAGAAUCAGAGAGUGUGUGAGAUAAAGAGAGAGCAAGAGAGGGAUAGAGAGAGUGUGUGCGCUUGAGAGAAAUUGCAUUUAUGUAACAGUUUCUUACCCCUAAUCCCAUGUAUAAAGUGGGGAUACCUGAGUCAAUUGUACAACUGAAAUGUGUCCUCUGAAUCAGAGAGGUGUGGGGAGCUGCCUUAAUCAACAUCCACAUUGUCUGGGGAACAGUGGGUUAACUGCCUUGCUCAGGGGCAGAAUGACAGCUUUUUACCUUGUCAGCUUGGGGAUUUGAUCCAACAACCUUUUGGUUACUGGCCCAAUUCUCUAGCCACUAGGCUACACCUCCAGUCAGUCACUGCCUCUGUCUCCUCUCAGAGCUUACCAGAGCUGCUUUCCUUUCUGUACAGCAGUCCCAGCCAGUCCUUCGGUCAACCACUGUUAAGUGAUACAAAUUGAGCUUCUAUCUAUCAGGUCUCUUCCAGACACUAAACAGCCUGACCAAGGGAUGUCAGACUGAUUAAUCACGGCUAAUGAAAUCAAAGAAAACCCUGCCUUGGUCACUUAUAUAAUGUGCAUGAAUGGUGAAAGUGUGUGUUCAUGUACUCUUCAUGUAUUAUAGGUGUGUGUGUGUGUG
ensembl:lncRNA